GUGGAGGGCCGGAUGGGGGGGGCGAUCUUGCAAUAAAUAAAUAAUUAAAGGAACCUGCUGCUGCUGCUGGGGUUCGCCUCCUGCCGGGGAAGGGAGGCGGGUUUGAAGCGCUCCCGCACGUCUGGAGGGGGGCGAGCUUGUCUCAGACAGGUGAUGGGCGUUUCGGCUGCGCUCCGGAUUGACUCCUUGGGUUUCACUUUGGUCUGAUCUAAGCAAAUAUGCAGAAGUACCGGCUGGUCUAGUCCUAAAGCCAAGAGGAGCGCGCGAGAGAGCAGCAGAAGCGGAGCUCCUCUAGCAAAGGGAACAUACAAACCCCCCCACCACACCUCAACGUGGACGAAGAGCCGCACGCCUCACCCGUGUCUUUCCCCGAGGGAUGGUACUGACUUCUCCAGCCACAGGAGCCGGGCUGGAGCUCCGACACAGCACCCUUGCCUUUGAUUCGUGCCCCAAGUGUAUUAGAACGCGAUGAGGACCUGGGCUUGCAUUUUGCUGAUAGGUUUUUGCUACCUUCCCUUCGCGUUUCCCGAGGAAGCUGAAAUCCCCCAGGAGCUAAUCGAGAGACUGGCUCACAGCGAAAUCCACAGCAUCCGCGAUUUGCAGCGCCUCCUGGAGAUUGAUUCCGUAGGAUAUGACGAUGUUUCAGAAACAAACUUGAGAUCUCAUAGUGUUCAUUCUGCUAAACAUGUCCAAGAAAAUCACCCUGUACCCAUUCGCAGAAAAAGAAGCAUCGAGGAAGCCAUUCCUGCCGUCUGCAAAACAAGAACUGUUAUAUAUGAGAUACCUCGGAGUCAGAUCGAUCCCACGUCUGCUAAUUUCCUGAUAUGGCCACCGUGCGUGGAGGUGAAACGUUGUACUGGCUGUUGCAACACCAGCAGCGUGAAAUGCCAGCCGUCACGGAUACAUCACAGAAGUGUCAAGGUGGCAAAAGUGGAAUAUGUUAGAAAAAAGCCAAAAUUAAAAGAAGUUCUGGUGAGGUUAGAAGAGCAUAUGGAAUGCACCUGUACAUCAUCAAAUUCUAAUUCAGAUUAUCGAGAAGAAGAAACUGGAAGGCCUAGGCAAACAGGUAAAAAACGGAAACGAAAAAGGUUAAAACCAACAUAAAAACUACUGGAACUAUUUGCUAAUCAGAUUAACAGGUAUUUAUUGGGAGUAGUAUGAUAGAAGCAAAGAUUUUGUAAAAUUCAACUUUAAAAGUCAGCAUGUAAACUCAAUCAAAACAGCAUUUAGAACUUCUUGUCCCAGAUGUAAGGUGAAAUAAGCUAGAAAAAAAAAAAGAACUUCUCUCUGGGACAUGGAUGUACAUGGUUUGUUACAUUCCUGAACCUACUAUGUAUGGUGCUUUAUUGACUGUAUACUUUAUUUGUUCUCCUAUGUGAAAAAAACUGGCUGAAAAGAACACUUAAUGAGAACAAAGAGACAAUGUACAUUUGUUUAAUGUGACAUCAAAGCAAGUAUUGUAGCACUCUGUGAAACAAUAGGAAGCUUCCCUGUCCAAAAAAACACAAAACAACGAAACAAACAAAGAACAUAAAAAGACAGUUGAAUGAAUGGAGGAUACCAAAAGUACAAAACAAAAAACAAAAAUAAAAGAGGAAGAAGAAGAAGAAAAAAAAAGACAAAAAUCUUAAGUGAAUAGUGGAUUUCUGUCAGAGCAGUCAACGGUGCUUUAUGUCAAGAAAUGUGCCUGCUUUCUUGAUGAAGAUGGAUGGACACAAAUGGACUUCAGGCACAAAAAAGCAGGAAUGUAUCAAAUGAUCAAAUGCCACGCAAACACUAUAGAAACAGUACAUCCUUGCUUGGUGGUGUUUUAAAGUCUAUACAAAAAAGAAUACCUUCUGGGGAGCCUUAAAUGGAUUUUUUUUUACACCAUAAAGUGAUUAUUAAGCUUUCUUUUUACUCUUUGCCUAGCUUUUUAUUAUCUCUUGGACUACAUUUAUCAAUAACACAUAUAGAAGACUGGUGUAACAGUAAGCAGAACACAAACAUUAUGGUAUUUCUCCUAGUGGGAUGCAAACUAAUGAGAUAUAUUAAAAUAAAAAUGGUAUACCUAUGCAUAAUUUUCUAGACGUUUCUUGGUUUAUGUCUCCCAACCUCCCCCGUAAUUUAAAGCAUUUAAAAAAACCUGAUGUGUGUAAACAAAUCAUAGGAUAUCCAUGCAAAUAUCCUUUUUUUCUUUGAAACGUAUGCCAGUUGCCUAAUAGUGAUAUUGUGUUAGCAAUUGCCAUUCUUAUCAGUAUACAAAUACUUUUAUUUCACAUGUUGGCGCUAUGUGAAAUGUACAAAUUCUUGUAUCCGCAUUGUACAAUGUCAUUGUGGCAUGGGAAAACCCUUGCUGCAAAUAGUUGAACAAAACCUAAAAUUCUUUAUUUUUGGUAAAAUGUUAUGCUUUAUGUGUAUUCAACAGAAAUAUGUGUUUUGUAAAGGUGAAGUUUGUAUUUUUAUCUAAAAUUAACAGUUUUAUAUACCUAAGAAAGCCUGCUAUGUUUUCUUGAAGAAAAAAAAAAAGAAAAGAAAAGAAAAAAAAAAAAAAGCAUUUUGUGGUCAUAUUUUUGUAGUUGAAUAGCCCAAAUAACUUCAAAAUAUAUUUUAAGUAUAGCAGGGCAGAUAAAAUACUCAGGCACCAACUCCUACAUUUUCAAAGUGCAGAGGAAUUUAAUUGUUCAGCUCCUCCAGGGACUGUAAUGGGAGCCACAUGGCUAAUUCUUGUCUGCUGCUUUGGAAAUGUAGGCCUGUGCCAUAUAUAUCAUGCCUACCCUGUUAGCCAAAAUCACUGCCCCAGCCUGGUGGUUUAGAUGAUAUGCCCUUUGUGUUACAGUAUUUGGAUUAUCACAUUGGACAUGUAAAAUAAACUACUGGGUUCUAUUCUUUAUGAAACAUCUCCAAUAAGAUGAAAGAUUUCGCUUUCCUUUGUACAUAAUGACAAAAGACAAGUCUUGAGGAUAAUGUGUCCACCCUGAAUUAAAAGUCUCAAAUGUGAAUGAACUCCAGAGCUUUACGAUGUAACAAAAAAAGAGAGAUUUUGUUAACACAUCACCCCACCCACUAUAGCUAUGUCCAGUUUCAACCAAACAAAGCAAUUUUAAUGAACAGGCAUUGGUUUUAAUUGCUAAUGCAGGGAUAGCAUUAGUCACUAUCCUGUUUGCGAUCAUCUUCCCAGUGUAUUACAUUAAGCACCAAAACUGGAAAUACAUUUACUAAAACUAUCUGUGCUUGUUCUUCACUAAGUGUACUGUUCACAAUGUUAUGCCCAUGAAUGUAUGUGUCUGCGUUUAAAAGAAACGUGUAUAAAUUGUAAUUUAUAUAUUUAUGUUUCGGUGGGAUGUCAAUAGUGUUGCUCAGUUUUGGGUUUUUUUUUUCUUUUGGGGGUGGUUGUCUAAAAUAGCUAAUGAAAAAAGAAUUCAUAUAUCUCUAUUAAAAUCAUGUAGAUGAAAAAUAUUAUGUGACCCGCUCAGACAUUGUGCAAGUUUGAAAGGAUGCCAAAGUCACUUAAGUGGAAUAUUGCAUGAGCGAAUUUUUCAGCUAAGGUUGAACUGGCACAAUAGGGAUUAAUUUAAAUCACUCACCUGGGCCAGAUCUUCAGACAGUUUAAUUUGGUGUAGCCCCAUCGAUUGUAAUGGCGCUGUGUGUGUACAACACCCGAGUAUAUUUAAUCCCUGAUGAAAAAUGCAAGUACAGGCAUGCAUUUUCCUGGUACCAGCAUAGAAAUCUAUUAUGCCAAGUUUGAAAGGAGGAGAGAAUGAAGACUGAAUGAAGAACUUUCUGGUAAUUAUUUGUCUGAGAUUUGAAAUCUGUAAUUCAUUUUGUUACCAGGAAUUAGGAGCAUCCAAAGUCUUUAUUUUCAAACCCAGUGUUUACAUGGUUCACAGUAGCAAUCAUCAAAGUCUUAGGGCCAGAUUCUCAGCUGGUGUAAACUGACGAGCUCUAUUGACUUCAGUUUACAUCAGCUGAAGAUCUGGAUCAGUCUUUAAACUAUUGCUGAAUGUUAUAAUUUGUGCCAUUGAUUCUAUUCCAGUUGAAAUGUUAUCUGCAAGCAUUUCCAGCAUUACUGUCUGUUGAAUCAGUCCUCAUCUAUUUCUGUGACAUAACAAAUAUAACCAGGAGGAACAGUAACAUUAAGGCUUGUGACUCAAAAUAGCAUAAGCAAGGGACAGUAAUUCAAAGUUAAGUUGGGCAUUUUGAGGGCCAGAUCCUCAGUUCACGUAAAUCAACAGCUCCGGUGACUUCAAUGGAGUUAUGCCAAUUUACACCACUUGAAGAUCUGGUCCUCUACCCUUUACUCAUCCCCUUUGGUCUCAGGUCUUGCAAGGAUCUCAGAUCAUUGCGUAUGGUUAAUGUAACAUCAUGUUCCAACACUUAAGCACCAUAGGUGAGUUUGAGAAAGAGUGUCAGACUUAACUUUGAAUUUCCAUGCUUUGCAAUGGAUUGUUUCACCAUUGUGCUGUAAAUUAAACAGUUUUCUGUGCAUUCACAAACAUUGUGCAGUGGUGUCUUAUCUCUGCUUCCUGUAUCAAUCCAGGAGGAAAUUGUUUAUGAUAUUGUCAGGGAAAGAGGAAGCCAUGUUUUGCUUAUGUUUAAAUUGUAACAUUCGGAGUGUCACAGAAACAGGUUCAGGCACCCGGGAACCAGGAGGUAUCUGAUUGAUGGCCUGUAUUUUUGCUUUCCUGGGAGGUGGGGGAUUACAGAGGGUGUAAUGAAGCAGUAGGAAAAAUCAUUGUUAUCUGGAAAUCAUGUCUUUAUUUUUUGUAAUUCUCGGUCUGAAAUGUCAUAGCUCUAGUGCUUGAGUUCUUCAGUGAUUUCAGGAUCAGAUGUUCUUAGUUGACACCGCUAAUACCCCCAGUCAUCACCGGCUGUAGGAAACUGCUCUGAUAGUCAUCCUGUUUGCAGUCUUUUCUGGUUAAAGCACAUGAUAGUGAUAGGAAGGCAUUGGCCAGAAAAUGUAAUUCCAGCAUAACUUUGGCUACAGUCACCGAUUCUGUGUUUUAAUACAGUUUUCUGCUGCUGUGCUUCCUCUUUCCUCAGUUGUCCUUCACCUGCUUUUGUGAGUGAAAUCAAUUGUAACAGGGUUAUCUUAACCCCUGGGUCCCCUGCUUGCGAUCUCAGUUUCCCCCUUCUUUGCUACCUGCUGAAUGCAGCCAACCCCACUCCACCCCAUUUGGUUCAAGUAACAUCCCCACCUGGGGUCUGGUUUAUAAGAUUUGCAUAAUAAAUAUGAGCAGUUGCUUCUUUGGGGAAGCAGUUGGUUCACAAAUAAGUCCAUUCCUUCUGUCCCUUUGAGUGUAGUCCUCUCUCCCCUCUUGGGGGCUUGAUAAUCCAUCGUUCCUCAGUUUGGCUUCAGUAGUCUCUCUGCUACAUGAAACUCUGCGCUUUCCUUCUAGGCUCUGCAGUACAAUCCCUACUGCACUCUAUAUCCAUUAGCCCUCUUCCUGACUACCCUAGGGAAUCCCAAUUCCCUGGGACUCUGUCAGGCCAUGCAUCUGAUCCAAGUAAAGCAUCCCUUUCAGAUUCUUCCCCAAACCCUGGAUCUCUCCUGUCUGUUAUUCCGGCCUAGGAGAAUAGCCUUAUACCUGGUUUCCUGUAGUUCACAUGAUUGGUGCUACUCAUGUGCCCUCAGACUAUAGCUUUGAGCUUGAAAGAGCCAGGCCUCGUAACAGACACCUCACUGCACAUGCCUUUAGACCAGUGCUCUGUUACAUAGUUACACACGUAUGGGAGAAAAAGAGGCAUGUUUUCACCUGCUUAGCAUUAGGAAAAACCGUCUCAACAAAGAGUUCCCUGUUGCAGCCAAAUUCUGAUUCCAGUUACACUGGUGUAAAAUGGGAAUAGCACCAUUGAAGAGAUGCCACAUUUACUUUGCUGUACUGAGACCAGAUGGCCCCCUCCUGUAGUUCAGUUUGGAUAAGGAACCAAAAGCAUGAGGGUGGGAUUUUCAAAACUGCCUCAGAGAUUUGGGUGCUCAAUUCCUCCUGGUAAUUAACAGCAGUUAGGGCUCCAGUCAGCUACCUGGCUUUGAAAAUCCCAUCCUGGAUGUUUAUCUGACCACCUCUUAGGCUGAAAGUCUUGCUUUAAAAAAAGUAUGUUGGGUUUCAUAUUUCCAGUCAAGGCAAACCAUUUUUUUGACAUUUCUGAUCCUGGUCCUAGUUGAUUCCAGAAGCACAACAGUCAUAUCAAAAUGAAAAAUUAGAGGGUGGGGGGAAGGAAGCAAUUUUUUCAGUUCUCAGCAAAGAUUCAAUUCAAGGAAUUGGGGGAGGGAGGGAAAGAGGCCCAAUAAUUCAUCUCUCCCUAUGCUCUGUUAUCUUUUUUAACUGGUAGCUGUUCUCCCGUCCACACGUUUGUAGCAAGAAUGUAUUAUUUAUUCAAGGGCUUUUCUAGGCUACUCACUAUGGUGUCUGAGUGCCUCACACCUGUUCAUGGAUUUCCUCUUGGAACACCCCAGUGAGAUCACGAACUUUUAUUAUCCUAUUUUAGGGGAGACUGAGGCACAGAGAAGCACCUAUGCAAAGUCAACCAGCAAGUCUAUGGCACAACCUCAGGGUGUGUCAUUACUGCAAGUGACAGUGUCUUUGUAGCACAGGUAAGCACGCCCAUGCUAGCUUUAAUUCUAGCUAGCACGGAUAAUAGCAGUGUAGAUGUGGCUGCAUGGGCUACAGUAGGGAUAGCACCCUGAGUACAUACCUAGAGUCCCCUGAGGGCUUGAACUCGUGGUUAGCCGGUGCUGCCACAUUUGCACUACUGUUGUUACUCGUGUUAGCUAGAGUGAAGCUAGCAUGGAUAUGCCUACCCAUGCUACAAUCACACCUUCACUUUGCAGUGAUGACCCACCCUGAGACCAGAUCAGUUUCCCCAUCCAAUGCCCUAAACCACAUGGCCAGUGUUCCUUUCCAAGAACAAACCCUGUCACCCUUAAGGCUAAAUACUGUAGUGACUGAUGAAAAUCCAGCUCUCUGCCUGUGCAAAUGUACACAGUCUGUUAUGCCAUCAUCAUUUCCUGCCCAUCUAAGUACUCAGCCUUCCAUGACAUCAAGGGGAAUUACACAAGUGGAACAAAUGCAGGUUCAGCAACUGUAGAAUCAGAUUUUAUGGGAAUCUACAAAGGUUUAGUAGACGGUAGUAGGCACUUUCCCCCAGCUCUUAGUCAUGCACUCCCUGUAUAGAGAUUGGUAUCCUCCCUAAGAAAUCCCUUUCUACUGUGGCUCCAAUCAUGAAUUCUUUACACAGGCCUAGUUCAGGAAAACACUUAAGCAUAUGCAUAAAUCCAUAUCUAUUCAGCACAACAUUAAGCAUGUGCAUAACUUUAAGCAUGUACUUACGUCCCAUUGGCUUCAGAUAAGGCUAUAGUUGUGCUUUAGUGCUCGUCUGGAAUAGGUGUGAAUCGGGACCACAACAAUUCCAGGAUUGAGCCCUUUGUGCCCUUAAUGUAUUGAGGUAUGUUGUAAAUGAAAUAACGCCAAAUAUGGAGCAACAAGGCCUCUAUGAAUAAGAGAAAGAAAAUAAGAGUAUCUUCAAUAAGAGAAAUCUGUGAGAUGUCCCCACAGUGUUUGACAUGCUUUAAAAAAUAGUUUCUAUCCCUUGCUAUACAUACGACCAUCUUAACAUCUGCAGUGAUGGCAUUUAAAGUGAUUCUUGCUCAUACACCUAAAGCAUAACAUUUGAAAACACAGGUUAUUUCGAUAGCUAAGCCAAAUUUGAGAAACAUUCAGCUCCAGAUGAAAAAGUUAAGGUUGAGAUAAUCAUUGUCAAAUUUUAAAACAUAUACUUCACUCAUCCAACGUGUAUUAGUGUGUCCAUUAAAGCCAAACAUAUCUGAUGGGACAGAAAUUUUGGGCAAAAGUUUUUUUUUUUUAAAUUGUGAAAUUUUAUCUGUCCCCUUACUCAGCUCCAAUUAUUUGAUUUGUAAGGAAAAGAAAUGUGUGUAAAUUAUGUAUAUAACUAGCUCAGAAUCAUCAUGAUACACAUAGACGGAUAUGACUAUGUCGCCUUGAAUUGCUACAAUAUUUGAGGGGAAUAUUAAAUCAGUUGUAAAUUAAAAGGACAA